CAAUAGCGUAUAUUAAAGUUGUUGCGGUUAAAAAGCUCGUAGUUGGAUUUCUGCUGAGAACGACCGGUCCGCCCUUUGGGUGUGUAUCUGGCUCUUUCUUGGCAUCUUCUUGGUGAACGUUGCUGCACUUGACUGUGUGGAGCGCUACCCAGGACUUUUACUUUGAGGAAAUUAGAGUGUUUCAAGCAGGCAUACGCCUUGAAUACAUUAGCAUGGAAUAAUAAGAUAGGACCUCGGUUCUAUUUUGUUGGUUUCUAGAGCUGAGGUAAUGAUUAAUAGGGAUAGUUGGGGGCAUUCGUAUUUAACUGUCAGAGGUGAAAUUCUUGGAUUUGUUAAGGACGGACUACUGCGAAAGCAUUUGCCAAGGAUGUUUUCAUUG
rnacentral:rRNA from 1 species